UACGUAGGUGGCAAGCGUUAUCCGGAUUUACUGGGUGUAAAGGGCGUGUAGGCGGGACUGCAAGUCAGAUGUGAAACCCAUGGGCUCAACCCAUGGCCUGCAUUUGAAACUGUAGUUCUUGAGUGAUGGAGAGGCAGGCGGAAUUCCGUGUGUAGCGGUGAAAUGCGUAGAUAUAUGGAGGAACACCGGUGGCGAAAGCGGCUCUCUGGCCUGUAACUGACACUGAGGCUCGAAAGCGUGGGGAGCAAACAGG
rnacentral:rRNA from 1 species